UACGUAGGGUGCAAGCGUUAAUCGGAAUUACUGGGCGUAAAGCGUGCGCAGGCGGUGAUGUAAGACAGAUGUGAAAUCCCAGGGCUCAACCUUGGAACUGCAUUUGUGACUGCAUCGCUGGAGUGCGGCAGAGGGGGAUGGAAUUCCGCGUGUAGCAGUGAAAUGCGUAGAGAUGCGGAGGAACACCGAUGGCGAAGGCAGCCCCCUGGGCUAACACUGACGCUCAGGCACGAAAGCGUGGGGAGCAAACAGG
rnacentral:rRNA from 1 species